GAUGAACGCUAGCGGCAGGCUUAAUACAUGCAAGUCAAGGGGGUAGCAAUACAACCGGCGCACGGGUGAGUAACGCGUACACAACAUACCAUAUACUGGGGUAUAGCUUCGGGAAACUGGAGAUAAUCCCCCAUAACAUUGCGAGAGGGCAUCUGAUUGCAAUUAAAGUUUCGACGGUAUAUGAUUGGUGUGCGUUUGAUUAGCUUGUUGGUAGGGUAACGGCCUACCAAGGCGACGAUCAAUAGCUGGCGUGAGAGCGCGACCAGCCACACUGGAACUGAGACACGGUCCAGACUCCUACGGGAGGCAGCAGUAGGGAAUAUUGGACAAUGGGCGAAAGCCUGAUCCAGCCAUGCCGCGUGAUAGAUGAAGGCCCUCUGGGUUGUAAAUAUCUUUUAUCUGGGAAGAAACUCCUCUAUUCUUAGAGGCCUGACGGUACCAGAGGAAUAAGCACCGGCUAACUCCGUGCCAGCAGCCGCGGUAAAGUAU
rnacentral:rRNA from 1 species